UACAGAGGUCCCAAGCGUUGUUCGGAUUCACUGGGCGUAAAGGGUGCGUAGGUGGUCAGGUAAGUCUGAUGUGAAAGCUCUGGGCUCAACCCAGAAAUGGCAUUGGAUACUAUCUGGCUAGAGGAAUGGAGGGGGGACUGGAAUACUUGGUGUAGCAGUGAAAUGCGUAGAUAUCAAGUGGAACACCAGUGGCGAAGGCGAGUCCCUGGACAUUUCCUGACGCUGAGGCACGAAAGCCAGGGGAGCAAACGGG
rnacentral:rRNA from 1 species